rnacentral:miRNA from 1 species
UCCUUGAGUGCAGCGUUGAUG